rnacentral:lncRNA from 1 species
CCCUCGCUAACCCUAAACAUCCACUCCCACCUCCUUGGCCAGCCCGCUUUCUGGUCUGCCUCAGUGGCGAGCAGGGCCCCAGGGGGUUCUCCACUCACAGCUUUCCCCGGCCGCCUCGGCAGGAGCGGCUGCCCGGGAACCCCGCCCCGUGUCCUCCCGCAGUUGGGUUCAGGGCCCCCAACUGUCCCUGCUGAUCGACACUACGGCCCCACCUUGGUGCCCUGCAGGAUGGAGUUGGAGCAUCUGUGUCCCGAAAGAAGUUGGGAAGCCGGGCGUGAUAAAUAUUUUGACAAAAGUAUUCUCCAGGCUGCCUGAGUUGGGGGAAAGAAAGCUAGUGACCGAACAUGUGGGCACAAAGCAAGAAGCUGCACGUAAUGGACACCACUGUGUACAUCCGCUCAUGGCUGUGAGGAGCAUGAGCCGAGUCUGAGGGGUUGGCGCCAACAUCCAAACUCCCCCAUUCUGCAAAGGGCACCCCUGUUUUCCGCAAGCAGGGAGCAAUUUUUAUCCAGACCCAGCUGCUCAUCCUCUGGUAUAUUAAGAGCAAACUUUCUGAUUUGGUGGUUGAAGCUUGGGGCACAGUGGUUUAACCAUAGGACAGAGCUGCGGAUGGAGCAAUUCUGGAUGCUCAGAAGAACCUCACCCCGCACCCCUAGGAGAAAGAGGAACUGUUCGAUUUGACUGGGGGUCAGGAGAUGGGCUGGGGGGGUGGGAGGAGGGAACGGAUGGAUGGAGCGCCAAGUGCAGCGCCUGGCUGCCGCUCUCUCCUUUUUGUCCCCCCCUACCACAUCUUCUGCUAUUUCCAGAGGCAGGAGAAAGGUGAUCUCGGACUUGACCCCUAAAUCACAGCUGCUGGUGGCUGCACCUCGCUCCGGGAUGAGCGCAGCCCCUUCCCCGGGCUCGGGCAGUUUAACCCUUUCAUCCCCUCACGCUCAGGGGCCGGCGGCAGCGGCGCCUCUGACCCCGGCACGGCGAGCAGCCCGCCUCCUCGGCGCGGCACCUUGGAUCCCACGAGGAGAUCACAAAAGGGCGAG